UACAGAGGUCUCAAGCGUUGUCCGGAAUUAUUGGGCGUAAAGAGCUCGUAGGCGGCUUGUCGCGUCGGCUGUGAAAACCUGGGGCUCAACCCCGGGCCUGCAGCCGAUACGGGCAAGCUAGAGUUCGGUAGGGGAGACUGGAAUUCCUGGUGUAGCGGUGAAAUGCGCAGAUAUCAGGAGGAACACCGGUGGCGAAGGCGGGUCUCUGGGCCGAAACUGACGCUGAGGAGCGAAAGCGUGGGGAGCGAACAGG
rnacentral:rRNA from 1 species